rnacentral:rRNA from 1 species
GACGGAGGAUGCAAGUGUUAUCCGGAAUCACUGGGCGUAAAGCGUCUGUAGGUGGUUCGAAAAGUCCACUGUUAAAAAUUGAAGCUUAACUUCAAAGAUGCCGUGGAAACUUUCAAACUAGAGUGUGGUAGGGGUAGAGGGAAUUUCCAGUGGAGCGGUGAAAUGCGUAGAUAUUGGAAAGACCACCGAUGGCGAAGGCACUCUACUGGGCCAUUACUGACACUGAGAGACGAAAGCUAGGGGAGCAAACAGG